rnacentral:rRNA from 1 species
UACAGAGGUCCCAAGCGUUGUUCGGAUUCACUGGGCGUAAAGGGUGCGUAGGCGGUCGGGUAAGUCUGACGUGAAAUCCCGCAGCUCAACUGCGGAACUGCGUCGGAUACUAUUCGGCUCGAGGAAUGGAGGGGAGACUGGAAUUCUCGGUGUAGCAGUGAAAUGCGUAGAUAUCGAGAGGAACACCAGUGGCGAAGGCGAGUCUCUGGACAUUUCCUGACGCUGAGGCACGAAAGCCAGGGGAGCAAACGGG